rnacentral:rRNA from 1 species
AUGAGGAUUUGUCUCUUGCGGGCUCAUUUGUCGAUACAAGGCUCGGAUUGUUCGAGGAAAGUACAAUACAGCGGAUCCAAUUUUUUUUUGGUUGGCAAGCCUCUUGUGUUGGCUUGUGUGCAUUUUUCCUGUCCUCCACCCCCCACGUACAAAGUGGACAUUUUUUUGGUUGUGCUCUGUAAAGUAUCCCGAGAUUGUUCUCUGUUUAUAGUGGCCUGUAUCUUUGGAACAACAGCUACUCAUCGUUUUGUACCAUCAAGCUGUAAGAAACCGAGAGCCGAAGUAUCUUUUGUGCUGUCUUCAUAUGUAGUUCAAGCUAAGGGUUCCAGUAUUUUUUGCCGUUUGGUGUUUUUCUUUUGCUAUACGGAAGAAACAGGGUUCGGAGUUUACAAGGGAUACAACAAGUCGCUGCCAAGUCAAGAGUUUCUUUCCCAUAUUAUAAGUGUUGGUAAUUUCGCUUCAGGUCCAAACCUAUGA